AUUGAACGCUGGCGGCAUGCCUUACACAUGCAAGUCGAACGGCAGCACGGGAGCAAUCCUGGUGGCGAGUGGCGAACGGGUGAGUAAUAUAUCGGAACGUGCCCAGUCGUGGGGAUAACGUAGCGAAGCUACGCUAAUACCGCAUACGAUCUACGGAUGAAAGCGGGGGAUCGCAAGACCUCGCGCCGAUUGGAGCGGCCGAUAUCAGAUUUAGGUAGUUGGUGAGUAAAGGCUCACCAAGCCGACGAUCUCGUAGCUGGUCUGAG
rnacentral:rRNA from 1 species